rnacentral:rRNA from 1 species
GACGAACGCUGGCGGCGUGCCUAAUACAUGCAAGUCGAGCGGACUUGAUGGAGAGCUUGCUCUCCUGAUGGUUAGCGGCGGACGGGUGAGUAACACGUAGGCAACCUGCCCACAAGACUGGGAUAACUACCGGAAACGGUAGCUAAUACCGGAUAAUUUAUUUUCUCUCCUGAGAGAAUAAUGAAAGUCGGAGCAAUCUGGCACUUGCGGAUGGGCCUGCGGCGCAUUAGCUAGUUGGUGAGGUAACGGCUCACCAAGGCGACGAUGCGUAGCCGACCUGAGAGGGUGAACGGCCACACUGGGACUGAGACACGGCCCAGACACCUACGGGUGGCUG